rnacentral:rRNA from 1 species
AACGAACGCUGGCGGCAGGCUUAACACAUGCAAGUCGAACGGGCACCUUCGGGUGUCAGUGGCAGACGGGUGAGUAACGCGUGGGAACGUACCCUUCGGUUCGGAAUAACCCAGGGAAACUUGGGCUAACACCGGAUACGUCCGCAAGGAGAAAGAUUUAUCGCCGAAGGAUCGGCCCGCGUCGGAUUAGCUAGUUGGUGGGAUAAUGGCCCACCAAGGCGACGAUCCGUAGCUGGUCUGAGAGGANGAUCAGCCACACUGGGACUGAGACACGGCCCAGACUCCUACGGGAGGCAGCAGUGGGGAAUAUUGGACAAUGGGCGAAAGCCUGAUCCAGCCAUGCCGCGUGAGUGAAGAAGGCCUUAGGGUUGUAAAGCUCUUUCAGCGGGAAGAUAAUGACGGUACCCGCAGAAGAAGUCCCGGCUAAACUUCGUGACAGCCGCCGC